rnacentral:rRNA from 1 species
GUGAGGAAUCUUGCGCAAUGGGGGAAACCCUGACGCAGCAACGCCGCGUGAGUGAGGAAGGUCUUCGGAUCGUAAAGCUCUGUCAGGUGGGAAGAACCGUAUGAAAGUAAACAGCUUUCAUACUUGACGGUACCACCAGAGGAAGCACCGGCUAACUCCGUGCCAGCAGCCGCGGUAAUACGGGGGGUGCAAGCGUUGUUCGGAAUCAUUGGGCGUAAAGAGCGUGUAGGCGGCUGGGUAAGUCAGAUGUGAAAGCCCUGGGCUCAACCCAGGAAGUGCAUUUGAAACUGUCCAGCUUGAGUAAGGGAGAGGAAAGUGGAAUUCCUGGUGUAGAGGUGAAAUUCGUAGAUAUCAGGAGGAACACCGGUGGCGAAGGCGACUUUCUGGCCCUAUACUGACGCUGAGACGCGAGAGCGUGGGUAGCAAACAGGAUUAGAUACCCCUGUAGUCC